rfam:Schistosoma mansoni strain Puerto Rico chromosome 1, complete genome
AAGACAAAGAGUGUAUACACCUAUGCCAUUGUGGGUGGUGGUGCAUGGCCGUUCUUAGUUGGUGGAGCGAUUUGUCUGGUUAAUUCCGAUAACGAUCGAGACUUUAACCUGCUAAAUAGUAGACUGGUCCUCUGUGCUCGUUUAGGGCGCGGCUUCUAUUGCUUCUUUAUGGAGUAGUGUGGUCGUGAUUCGGCGGGUGCGGUGCCAGUUUUUACUUCUUAGAGGGACAAGCGGCACACUUAAGUCGCACGAAAUUGAGCAAUAACAAGUCUAUGAUGCCCUUAGAU